AUAUUGCUUCAAGCAAAGUAGUGGAUGAGCACCCGUAACGCAUUGUGACCAAACACCCAGAUUUACCAAUGCCAGCAGUAGCAUAAACUGUAUUACAAUUGAUGUCUUCAUCCAACAAAGUGUUAUGCCUUGAUGAGGAAUACACAAAAUCCCACAUUGGAGCGCAAGCAAUUAAGCUACCAAAAAAGGACAUAGGCGAUACCGAAACAUCAUACACUAAUGUAU